rnacentral:rRNA from 1 species
UACGUAGGGUGCGAGCGUUAAUCGGAAUUACUGGGCGUAAAGCGUGCGCAGGCGGUUGUGCAAGACAGAUGUGAAAUCCCCGGGCUUAACCUGGGAACUGCGAUGGAAACUAGCGAGCUGGAGUGUGGCAGAGGGGGGUGGAAUUCCGCGUGUAGCAGUGAAAUGCGUAGAGAUGCGGAGGAACACCGAUGGCGAAGGCAGCCCCCCUGGGCUAACACUGACGCUCAGGCACGAAAGCGUGGGGAGCAAACAGG